rnacentral:rRNA from 1 species
AUGCGCAGGGAACGGGUCAGCAGAGGAGUCCAGGCGGUGGCGCCCGGCGAGCGUCUGGUCCACGAGCGACGGCGGUGGCGGACUGGCAGUCCACAGGCGAUUGGCCAAGGAAGGAGAGGGCCAGAGGGGGAGAGAGAGGAAGGGGAGGAGGACGCCGGCACGGUGGAGCAGGAGGGAAGCCUGUCGCUGGACGUGGACUCGUCGCAAGCUGCGCUGCGGCGGCGAGCCGGCCGGCAACCGACGGCUUUUGGUCGCGGCAAGCAGGCUCGCAUUCGUCCCCUGUUGCUCACAAAUGGUGGUAGCAAAAAUUAA